rnacentral:lncRNA from 1 species
CCUCCUCUGUUGCAGCAUGCUAGUCAGGAUGGAAUAAAGCCUCUCUAAUAGUUUUAGAGACCGAAACUCUAGUGAAGUUGUAAAACAAUGAGAGGAAGAGGAUAAUUAAUUAUGAGAGACAAAAGAUAAUAUAUGAUAGAUGCAAGAACUCUUUACCUUUACGAAGAGUAAUAUGGGAAAGUCUAAAUCAGACUGAGGAGGAAUGAUUGGAGCAUGAUUUGCUGACAAGAAGCUAGUAGUGGGAUCUGAGUCGAGAAUCUCCAUUCGCUUAAAUUAAACAUGAACAAUGGGAGGAUGAUCUACGGUAACAAAAGGAGCAUAGGAAUUCUAAAGGCUAGGCAAAGGAUGAGCGAUGUAAACUAAGAGAUCAUCUUCCUCCUCCUGAGUCUCACAAAUAGAUGAUAAAGGAAAUAAAGGAGUAGAUCAAAGAAGGUAAAAUCACCAGGCACGAGAUAACGAUUAAGUUUUGGAGAGAAGUAACGAUUUCCCAUUUGAAACCAAGAAUAUCCAAGAAAAACACACUUAAGUGAUUUUGGAUCCAAUUUAGACAUGUGAAUGAAUAUCACGAACAAAACAUGUACAGUCAAAGAUACGAGAUUCAAAGGUAAUAUAGAUUUAGAAGAAAAUAUAAUAUUUUAAGGGAUAUCACAAUAAAAGAACAUAUUGUAGAAACUAGGGAUGUGCCGUUCCGAGACGAUUUCUUACAGGAGCUGGAACUGGAAUAGAAAGUCGGUUCCUUUAAUUUUUUUUAAUCAGAACCAGAAUCGAAUUUUGGUACAUGCGUUCAAUUUUAGUUCGAUUCUAGUUAUUUCAAUUUCAGUUUCAGUAUAGUCAUCGGUUCCUAUAAUAAAAUAUUUCCAUCUAAAAUAUAUCAAGGCACUAAAUAACCAAACAUAAUAUAGUUUUUCUAUUAUAAUUUUCAAACUCUUAAAAAAA